rnacentral:lncRNA from 1 species
AUGAAGAUCUGGACUUCGGAGCACGUCUUUGACCACCCAUAGGAAACUGUUACAACAGCUGCAAUGCAGAAAUACUCAAACCCUAUGAGCCCAAGUGUGGUUGGAGUUAAUGUGUUGGACAGACAUAUAGAUCUGUCUGGAAAGUUGCACAGCCAUAGACUUCCCAGCACAGAGUAGGGACUGCUGUCCAUUGUGAAGUCUCUUAUUGGUGCAGCAAAAACCAAAACAUGUGUGUGAGAACAUUCUGUUGAUCCUGUAGAGAAAGCAAUGGAACUUAAAUCUACUAAUAUUUCAUUUGCAAAUAUGGUUUCAGUAGAUGAGAGACAUAUAAAAACCACAUCCUCAGGACCCAGAAGGAACCAUUUUGACUCAACAAGCCGUAAUCACCAUGAAAGGAGUUAGCCUUAGUGGUUACCCUGAAGGACUGAUGGUAAGUACAAUAUCCUCAAGUGCUAGUAAAGGUGAAGAAGCAGUGGAAUGGGUAAUACACAAAUUAAAUGCUGAGAGAUUGAAGAAUUGACAGCCUCGGCAAGAGGAAGC